GACGACGCUGGCGGCGUGGAUUAGGCAUGCAAGUCGAACGGUAUCAUCCUUUCGGGGGUGAGAGAGUGGCGAACUGGUGAGUAACACGUAGGUUAUCUACCCUCAAGACGGGGACAACCCAGGGAAACUUGGGCUAAUACCGGAUGUGAGCAACUUUUAGUUGUUUGAAAGGUGGCGUAAGCUGUCGCUUGGGGAUGAGCCUGCGUCCUAUUAGUUAGUUGGUGAGGUAACGGCUCACCUAGGCAAUGAUAGGUAGGCGGCCUUAACGGGUGGUCGCCCACACUGGGAUUGAGAUACGGCCCAGACUCCUACGGGAGGCAGCAGUCGAGAAUAGUCUACAAUGGACGGAAGUCUGAUAGUGCGACGCCGCGUGAACGAAGAAUCCCUUCGGGGUGUAAAGUUCUUUUAUACGUGAGCAGUGUCCUUUAUAUUAAUAGUAUAAGGGGAGAGAUAUUAGCGUAUGAAUAAGCAACGGCUAACUCCGUG
rnacentral:rRNA from 1 species